rnacentral:rRNA from 1 species
AACUCUUAACGGGGGAUCACUCGGCUCGUGGGUCGAUGAAGACCGCAGCAAACUGCGAUGUCGGUAUGUGAAUCGCAAAAUACCAGAUACAUCGACAAGUUGAACGCAUAUUGCGGCGGCGGCAGCCAUAUGAGCUUGUCGCCGCCACUCCUCUACGAGGGUCG